AAUGAAGAUUGGUGAUGUUGUUGGUGAAUUAAAUAAGUCAAGGAAAUCUUUCUUGAUGUAACUUAGCUUAGGAGUUUGUUUUAUUAUCUUGUCUUUUGUAUCUUUAUAAUCUGUAUGUGUUGGUGUUUUAAAUGACAAUACUCUAUUUCCUU